AGCUAUUAUCUGUGCUUUCCACUUUCCCAGGGUCCCACACGCUGCAUUAUAACCUCACAGUGAGGUCCCAAGAUGGAUAUGUAGAGCAAAGGUACUUUGCUGUGUGUUAUUUCAAUGAUCAGCCCAUCCUGCACUAUGACAGUAAAAAAAGGCAGGGCAGAAGUUCAGAAGCAUUGGGAAACUGUCCUGGUUGCUAAGGACCAGAAAAAUGACAGCCAGGCCUUGACAGAGAGUGGAAAGUACCUAAAAGUAACCAUGGCAGAUAUCAAGGACCAGCAAGAACAGGAAAGAGAGACUGUGACCCACAGUGAGACCUUGGAGCACAGCAUCACCCGGAAAUGCAUUUUCAUCUCUGUGGGUAUGGCUGCUGUCUUUGUGGUGAUUCCUCUUCUUCUGUGUCGUUGUUAUAAGUGGAGGAAUACAGCAUCAGCUGUAGAGGGUUCAGCUCAUGAGUCUAACAGUCCUGGGUCAACACCAGAAGGGGCCAAGAGAUCACAAUGGCACUGCAGAGCUGAGGCUGACAUUCAGGACUGAGCCUGUGGGGCACAUCUGACCCGAAGAGUUGGAGCCCUCAUGUGAUGAAGCAGAACUUUUGGGUGACAUCAGGGGAGGGGACAGGAAUUGUUUUUCAGGGUUUCCUAGUGAUGAGCAGUAGGGGGUCAGUCUACUUCUGGGCUGAAGGGACUGCUGGGUAAAUGUGGACUGAGUUGGUAAAGAAUAAGUGGACACAGAAUGUUUGUGAAUCAAACACUAGCAUCUGUGCCACCUGGUCAGACUGAAGCAGGCAGGGCAGGAGAGAAGAUGAUACUCCCCAUCCUGAUUUCUGUCCUUUCUGACUCCCAGACUAGGAACCCAUAGAGGGCAGUAAUAUUCUUGGUCAGGGCGAGCUAAGCCACAUCCAGGUAACACAUUGUGGAUAGCAGGCAUCAGGGGACACCAGUUGAAUGACUUUGAUAGUCAUAGGAGCCCUCUGCCUGUGUGGGUGACAGUCACAGGGCUGCCUAGAAACAGAAGGAUGAGGGACCCACAUUGAGUCAUGUUUCCUUGUUAUCUGGGUUUAAGCUCAUCUCCUCUACCUCCAGAGUGCUGGGAUUACAUGAGCAUGUGAUCACACCUGGCUUACUUAUCUAUCUUGAGAUGUGUUUCUUGAUCUGUCUUUCUCAUGUUUGUAUUUUGAGUUGAUGUCACUCACACUUGUGCAUUAAAGCAUUUAUGUAUUAUGGUUAUCUUCAAAUGUCAUUUGUUGUAUUCAGUUUUCAUCACCCAAAAACGUUCAUAUCCAUUGAGCUUUUAUUUUAAUUUUAUUCCAAACUACAAUUGCACCUAUUUAAAAGAGCCAAACAUUUGUGCAAUAUUUCUCAUGAAAAAUAAGAAUCCUCUCUGAUCCUUCUAAAUUUCUCACUUUCUAGAGGCUACUGCUUUCAGCCUUCGAGUUGAUUCUUUUGACUUGUACUUUCAUAAGUCUCAAUGCAAUGCUGUUAAGCCUGCUUCAUGUUUUGUUUGCAGCCAUUGUCUGUGGCAGUGCACCAGGGCU
rnacentral:lncRNA from 1 species